GCAAUUACUUCUUCAUUCAAUUUGUCCCUUUGCAUCUUAUUCUCCUCCAUCGACAAUGUUACAUCUUUAAUAUUAGUCCAAUCACUUUGUGAAAAGAUUUCAUCUUCUCAUUCUCAAAACCCACAUGAAUUAGGCUGUCAAAUAUAAUUCAAAAAGAACAUUUAGGUAAUAAUUACAAAACUCUAAACUUAUAGAUUUUAAAAUUACAAUGAAAUUAUUAAAAAAAAAUUGAAAAUAUGGUAACCUUAGGCCUCGAACAUUUGUAGAAUUUUCUUCCAGGGUUAUAUGGAGUGGACAAAGUGAAAAGGUUAGCUAUAAUGCCACAACGAUACCUAAUCUGUGAUGAACAGCUACCUUGCUACAUUUGUCAACCAAAACUACGAGGAGAAUGAAGAAAAGAGAAUUUUUGGAAAGAUUUCGGUCCAACCCUAAGUUCUUAGCAAUGGAGUGUAUUUUGGGGAGAAAAAAAGACAUUGGGUACGGGUCAUAUUACUAGGAGUGAAAUUGGGUUUGGGGGAUUAAAUAGCCGUUGAGUUUGGGGAUUAUAAAUUAGUGAAAGUUUGAAUUGCAGCUAACUUGGAAAAAAGAGAGGGGGUCGGCUGCCACAUCGACGAGGCAUUAGGGUUAGGGCUAAUUGCAUAAACUUUAUUAACGGUAGGGUGUGAUUGAAUGUACAGUAUAACGGGAGAAAACGUGCUUUAAAUUCCAAUAGUAUAGGGAUAAUAAUAGCCUUUUUCCUUAAAAAUUAUACCACUUCCCUGAUCUACAGUAAGUAGCAAGUUUGAAUGUGCCAUUUAUUGUUUUUUAGAAAUUUUUUGAAACUUUCUUCUCACAACGGGUACGAGAUUUUGAAAUCAAAAUUUAGCGUUUGGUCGUAAAUUUUUAAAUUUGUUUUAAAAUUCUGAUUUAGGUGAAGUUUGAUUCGAAGAUAAAAAUCUGUAUGAAUAUAAUUUUUCAAAAUAUAUUUUACUUUUUUUUGUCCAAAAAAAAAUAUGAAACCUGACUUAUACCCAUAAGUUUUAAAAACUAUCAAAAAUAUCCAAUAAUACCAAACAAACAGACUUGCUAAUCCUGCAUAUGCAGAACCUUCAUUGAUGCUAUUCAUUAUUAUUAUUAUUAUUAUUAUUAUUAUUAUUAUUUCAAACCAUAGUCUUGAACAUAUAUAAGUUUGGCAUAAAUUAUCAUUUUUAUAAUGAACUAAUUACACACUAUCUUAAGAACAUAACCUAAUAUUAUAAUAUCAAAUAUUAUAACAUAAUUACUAGCCACUAUAAUUCAUCAAACUCAAAUAAUAUUACAAGAUUCAUUGGUCCAAAAGAAAAUAAUAGUAAUUAGUCAGUGGUUAGUUGGGUCAUCCGUGAGCUUUUCUUUUUUUGUAAAAUAAAAAAGUUUGGGGUAAUUUUAAAAAAUCAAUCAGUGAUAUUUUUGGGCCACAAACAGUUCUAGAAUUAGUUCUGAAAUUUGAAAAAUUUAUUUUUAAAAUUUAUCAAAACAUAGAUAAAAUUUAUAAACAGAUAUGUUUUGCCAAAUUCCUCUUUUUAGAAAAAACUUGGCAAAAUCUAUGCCAAGACAUGUUUUUCCUCGAGGAAAGGGACAUUCAGAAUUCCAUGCAGGAAUAUAUUUUCGUGUCGCGCUAUUGCUUAUUGGCACAGAAAUAGUGGUCCAUCUUGAUUCUUUCCAAGUGGAAUUUGCAGAUAAAAGCAACUAUAAUUAGUGAAUACUUAACCCUUUACAUUUUACUAUAUGAUAUUUAUUUAAAGAAGAAUAUUAUAUUUAUUUAUAUUUUUCUAUUUUAUAUUUAACGAUAAGUUUUCGUAAUUAUACAAGUAUUACAAAAUAUUUAAAAGGCAUUAUAAAUCUCAGCAGUAUUGUAGCAAGAGACGAACUUAUGUUAGAUCAAGUAAAGGGAUCACCGGACCCGUUAACGAAAGCAAAAUUUUUGAAUAUAUAUAUGUAUAUAAAUUAAAAAGUUAUCCCUGGAUACCUUCAAAUCCUGGAUGUCCUCUGAUAACCAAGAUACUGCGAUAAUCUUUUUGAUUUCCCAAUGAACUGGCACCCAAUAAUCUGCUCUUGUGCUACAAUUUUUUUUUUAAUUUC
rnacentral:lncRNA from 1 species